CGCAGCCUCAGCACAGACGUUCCCACAGCCAGGAGAAGGGGGCAGCGCCCACCCGGUGCCCCCCGGGCUCACUCACCUUCUGCAUGGCUGCACAGAGGAUGCCGUUGCCCUGAUGGUACGGCACCUCCACCGAGCCCAGGAACUGCACGUUGAAGCGCUCCACCCAGCAUGGGUUCCUCUUCAGGCCUGCAGGGGAGGGGGGAUGUGGAGACAGCGCCGGGACCCCCAAUGGCGUGGGACCCCCAUGGGAUGUGGGACGCCAUGGGAUGUGGGAACCCUAUGGGAUGUGGGAACCCAAUGGGAUCUGGGACCCCCAUGGGAUGUCGG
rnacentral:lncRNA from 1 species